UGACACUUACUGACCACUGACCUCACGCGAGGCAACCGUGUUUAAGUACCAUGUGUCGCAUGUAGUCCUACCAAAACUAUAAAAUAAGCACAACUGUUAUCUUUCACUCUACAGGGAGGCUCCUGAGGCUUCAAGCAAGUAACCUGCCUAUGUUUAUGGGUUAACAAGUGGCAAAGCUGAUAAUCAACCUAAGUCAUCUGUUCCCGAGUCCGUGUGCUUACUGUGACGGCAGACGUGACACUCCGUACUUUCCUUCAACUCAGUUCUGAUGAAAGUCCGCUGAGGGUUCUGAAAAAAGAAGCUGGAGGAUCAGUUCUAUCUAGGCCACAACUUCCAGUAGGAGAAAGCUCCCUGGGGCUCAGACUUCAAGCACUAUGUGGGCAAAGGAAGAGUGAGCUGAGCAGGUGAACACUUCUACCUUGGAUAUUGUCACCGUGGGAGGUCACCUGAAUCCACAGGCUCUUGGACAGCCAAUCCUCUUAUAAAUUAAUUUAGAACCCAAUGAUAGGUUAUCAAUUUACAUACAUCUUUAAGCCUGUCUAAGAAAUAAG
rnacentral:lncRNA from 1 species